CGUUCGCGGCAGGGCUGGGGAGCGGCCCCAUGAAGGCUGCCCUUCUCCUAUCGCACACUGCAUGUUUGUGGAGAACCUGGUGCUAAAUCACUUGCAGACGACCUGAUUCUGGGUCGGGGUCUUGUACGUAGAAGAGCAGCACCCCCGCUGCGAUCU
rnacentral:rRNA from 1 species